rnacentral:sRNA from 1 species
ACUGCCUGAACCGCGCCAGGAGACGGAGCCCAAGUCCAGCGUACCCACAGACGACUCAGGCGGGAGACGAGCGGUGUCAUGGCCGCCGACAGUGACGAUGGCGCAGUUUCAGCUCCCGCAGCUUCCGACGGUGGCGUCAGCAAAAGCACAACAUCUGGGGAGGAGCUAGUAGUCCAGGUUCCCGUAGUGGAUGUGCAAAGCAACAACUUCAAGGAGAUGUGGCCAUCCCUCCUGCUAGCCAUAAAGACAGCUAAUUUCGUGGCUGUGGACACGGAGCUGAGUGGGCUUGGGGACAGGAAGAGUUUGCUGAACCAGUGCAUCGAGGAACGUUACAAGGCCGUGUGUCAUGCUGCCAGGACCCGUUCUAUCCUUUCCCUGGGCCUCGCCUGCUUCAAGCGGCAGCCAGACAAGGGUGAACAUUCCUAUCUGGCUCAAGUGUUCAAUCUCACUCUGCUGUGCAUGGAGGAGUAUGUCAUAGAACCAAAGUCUGUGCAGUUCCUGAUACAGCAUGGCUUCAACUUCAACCAGCAGUAUGCCCAAGGCAUCCCCUACCAUAAGGGCAAUGACAAGGGUGAUGAGAGCCAGAGCCAGUCAGUACGGACCCUAUUCCUGGAGCUAAUCCGAGCCCGCCGGCCCCUGGUGCUACACAAUGGCCUUAUAGACUUGGUGUUCCUGUACCAGAACUUCUAUGCACACCUCCCUGAGAGUCUGGGAACCUUCACCGCUGACCUGUGUGAGAUGUUCCCAGCAGGCAUUUAUGACACCAAAUAUGCUGCUGAGUUUCAUGCCCGUUUCGUGGCCUCCUACUUAGAAUAUGCCUUCCGGAAAUGGCAGUGUUUUAGGUGCUGAGGAUUCAGCAGUGAACAAAACAGACCACAAAACCCUGCUCUUAUGGAGCUUAUAUGCUAGUGGACCAUUACCCUCUUGCGCUGUUGCAGUGAACGGGAAAAUGGGAAGCAGCGGGCAGCUGGCAGCCCACACCUUACCCUGGAGUUCUGCAACUAUCCUUCCAGCAUGAGGGACCAUAUUGAUUACCGCUGCUGCCUGCCCCCAGCAACCCACCGUCCUCAUCCC